UACGUAGGGUGCAAGCGUUAAUCGGAAUUACUGGGCGUAAAGCGUGCGCAGGCGGUUCGUUGUGUCGGCGGUGAAAGCCCCGGGCUUAACCUGGGAAUGGCCGUCGAAACUGGCGAACUGGAGUGUGGCAGAGGGGGGUGGAAUUCCGCGUGUAGCAGUGAAAUGCGUAGAUAUCGAGAGGAACACCUGCGGCGAAGGCGGGUUGCUGGGCUGACACUGACGCUGAUGCGCGAAAGCCAGGGGAGCGAACGGG
rnacentral:rRNA from 1 species